AUACAUUCCAGCCUUGUUGCCCUUAUACUCAUCUUGCUUCUGAUGGUUAAGUGCUGCUUCAUGGCAUCCCCUAUUCCAGAAUUUUAACAACCCUAUGCUACUAGGAAGCUCAGUUUUGUAAUAGUAUCUUCUACCAUCAACUUUGGCUCAUAGAGGACAGCUACUAUGCUGGUGCUCCUUCUCCAUCACAUUAUUAUUUUUCUUUUUUUAGAGAGAGAGAGAGAGAGAGAGAGAGAGAGAGAGAAUAUUUAUUUUUUAGUUUUCGGCAGACACAACAUCUUUAUUUGUAUGUGGUGCUGAGGAUCGAACCCAGGCCACAUGCAUGCCAGGCGAGCGCACUACCACUUGAGCCACAUCCCCAGCCCUCUGUCACAUUAUUUAUCGCUUUGAUAGGUGAAGUAUUUUGUGGGCCCCACCAAAGAACUUAGUUUUGGUUAGCUGGUAGGUCUUGUUUCAUAAUUAAUCUGUUUUAAUGGAUUUUGAUUUAUUCCUUCACAGUCUACCAUUGAGUUCUAGUGUUAUGACUUCAUUUAAUGUGAGCCAUUAAUUUUUCCUCCCUUAUAAAACCAAACAAAUAUACACACAGUAAUCAUCUCAAGGGCCUUUGAGGCCCUUGCCAGUGUAUGGAACCCAGCAUCACCAAAGAGUACCUCCAUAUUAACAUGCUUUUCCUUAUCCACUUUUAUAGAUCUAGCACCCUCAGAUAUAAUCUUCCUGUUCUUGCUAAUGAAUGUCAGCCAUGUUCUGCAGCUUUUAAAAUGUAUAAUUGCUCUUCUCUGUCAGCAUGUCAAAAUACUUCUGUCCUCCCUUGUUAAAAUUUGACUGUAGUUAUUGUUCUAGUUGCCCAGAAAGGAGAGGGACAGAACAUUAAAAGAGCAGGCAGUGUCUUGGACUCGAAUAUUCAAGUUCUUUUUGUGAUCUUCAAUCAAGGAAGGAUUGCUGUUCUCUAAAGGGGGAAUUAAAGCAAUUCUACAGGCCUAGAAGUUUCUGGAGGAUCAUGUGGUUCAAGGAUCCCAAAUGCAUAUACCCAGCAAUGCCUAUCACAGUUAUCAAGGUUCCAUGUUUUUUCUUUACUAAGUCCCUGAUUUUGAUGGAGGAGGGUCACUGAAACUAAGAAUUCAACUUUUUCUAAUUUAUGCUUCUCUUAUGAUUUGAUGUUAUGCCAGAGAACAGUCAGUUCUCUGUCCAUAGAAGAUAAGGGGAUGUUUAAAGUCUGUCAAGAAGAGUUUACAGCUCCACAUUUUGCUUUGCGUUGGUAAAUGAUUAACUCACAAUUUCUUUCUUUCUUUGGUGUCUUCAAAACCAUCAGUUGUACUCAGCAACAGCCACCCAACAAAUACUACAGUACUUGUGAUUACUACUUCCCCAUAUCUUUUUUUUAGUUGUAGAUGAACAUGAUACCUUUAUUUUAUUUAUCUAUUUUUUUAUGUGGUGCUGAACAUUGAACCCAAUGCCUCACAUGUGCUAGGCAAGCGCUCCACCACUGAGCUAUAACCCCAGUCCCUUCCCCAUACCUUUUAAUUUCCAGAGUUACAUUAUAUGCCAUUUCACCUCCAUUUACCUGUAUCCUAUCCCACUUUACCACAGAUGAAAGCCUUAAUAAUUAAUUGCUACGGAAGGUCAGUGAUUACCAGUACACCAACUACCACUAGUUUUAUUAAUAAUGUAAUAAUA
rnacentral:lncRNA from 1 species